rnacentral:rRNA from 1 species
UACGUAGGGUGCAAGCGUUGUCCGGAAUUAUUGGGCGUAAAAAGCUCGUAGGCGGUUUGUCGCGUCUGCUGUGAAAACUCAGGGCUUAACCCUGAGCCUGCAGUGGGUACGGGCAGGACUAGAGUGUGGUAGGGGAGAUCGGAAUUCCUGGUGUAGCGGUGGAAUGCGCAGAUAUCAGGAGGAACACCGGUGGCGAAGGCGGAUCUCUGGGCCAUAACUGACGCUGGAGGAGCGAAAGCAUGGGGAGCGAACAGG